GUAAAUAUAAUUUAUUAAAAUACUAGACUGUGACUCUAGAAAUAGAAGAUUCUUCCCUUCUUAUUUACC
rnacentral:tRNA from 1 species